CGGCGAGUGGUGGAGUGUAUACACACGAGUCUCAGAAACUCGUGGGCGGAAGCCCGUGCAGGUGCAAAUCCUGUCUCGCCGACCA
rnacentral:tRNA from 1 species